AUUGCUUUUAAAACUUCAUUAGGCCAAAUGAGCAGCAGCUACUAGUGGUUGUGUUGAUGCUGCAAGUUUUCACUGAUUUUAAAAUGGACUGUUUUUGCUACAGAGAACUCUAUAAGAUUUCUAAACACCGAGGAUUCUAUGGAGGGUCAUUGAAAAGUGUUAGAAAAAUUAGGGUCUAGAUGAGUCGUGAGUCUUGCAUGAUCUCAUACAGAUGCAAAACAUCUCCGUCACUCUCUAGUACUAGAAGUGCAUUUACCAGUGCUCCUCAUCAAGCUUGGAAUGCUCUCUCUUCGUGUGCAUGUAUCCAAACCCAACACAUCCAGCAAGACUCAAUUAAGUCCACUUCAUCUGACAGUCCCUCUUUGGGACAUAUGUUGUAGCCACCCUGCUCUGAAUGGUCUACCUGGAUGGCUUACUGGUGACACAAAUCCUACAUGCAUUCAUUAUACUCAUUAUUUCCUCCUCAAAAACUGACCCACUGCAAUUAGAAAAGUCAGGACAGAGCCAGAUGGCCUGGAGGUGCCAGUCUCUUAAUGGUGCUAAAAUGUCCCUGGAAGCUAGCAAGUUGAAAGUAAUAUACUCACCCAAAUUCUUCUCAGGGAGACUACUGUAUGAUGUUAAAAGAAAUGUUAUCACAAGCUACUUGGUUGGAUGGAUGGUGGUGACUGGUGAGAGAGACUUUCUAAAGCAUUCUAGAGUGACAGUAAAUGAUUAUAAAAUCUCCACCCCCGAUGGGUAUACAUUGCAGAUGUAAUUAGUCAAGAUGACAUAAUGCUAGAGUAGGAUGGGUCCCUUAUGCAAUUUGACUGGCAUCCUUAUUAGAAGACAGAGAUACACAGGGAAAAUGAGAUGUGAAGGCAGAGACAGAGAUUGGAAUGAUGAGGAUCCCAGGAAUCCCAAGGACUGCUGCUGUCAUUCGAGUAAUUGCACAGGUUUUGUUUUGCUGAAUGAAGUAUUUAGGAGUUGGAGCAGAGCUAAAUUGCUCUGAGUAGUAGAGAAGAGGUGGACAUCCUACCAGAGGACCUUCCUUCUCCAAUCCUUCUAGAUCAUUCUAGAAUAGAAGCCUUCAGCCUCUAUUCUAAAUAAGUGUUGAAUAUUUAAAGGAUAUAAUAGUCAAAUUCUUUAAAGAUCAGGCAUGUAUCAUAAGUAAAUCUAGAUGUAAGGUAAUAGGGCACGAUUGAGUCUCUGAAAAAGUGGAGCAAAUGCCAUUUACUCUUUAGUAAAGACAUUUCCAUUCAAAUAUUUAAAAAUUGUGUCAGCCAAAAAUUAAAAUUAAAAAAUGCCCACCUUUGUGCUAGAGUCAGCUCAUAGUGGACUGCAGUUGGGAUUUCUGGAUUUUUUGUUUGAAAGAGUGCCCUGUGAAUGUCUUACCCACAGUGUCUGCAGGACCCUGGCAGGCCCAGUUUGGAAUCCUACUCAAGCCCUCCUCCUCAUCUGUAAGAGUUAAGGCUACUUUGGCUGGAAUUUACGACUCUAUUUCUUAAAGCAGGGUGGAGGAAAACAUGAAGAUGAGUCAAAAGGGGCAUGUACACUGACCCUUAAGAAAAGUUUGCAGAAGAUACUGUCACACAACACUUCCACCUUCACUUCUUUGGCCCACAUUUAUCCAUGUGGCCACAGCUGGGAAAAGUAGCCUCCUUUCUGGGUAGAAAUGUGCCAGCCGGAAAUCAGAACUCCAUUAGCAUGGAAAUGAGAUGUCCUGGAUUGAAUUGUGUCCCCUAACAAGAUAUGUUGAAGUUCUAAUUCCCAGUACCUCAGAAUGUGGCAUUAUUUGGAAACAGGGAUAUUGCAGAUAUAAUUAGUCAAGAUGACAU
rnacentral:lncRNA from 10 species